UACGGAGGGAGCUAGCGUUGUUCGGAAUUACUGGGCGUAAAGCGCACGUAGGCGGCUUUGUAAGUUAGAGGUGAAAGCCCGGGGCUCAACCCCGGAAUUGCCUUUAAGACUGCAUCGCUUGAAUCCGGGAGAGGUGAGUGGAAUUCCGAGUGUAGAGGUGAAAUGCGCAGAUAUCAGGAGGAACACCGGUGGCGAAGGCGGGUAUAUGGGCAGUAACUGACGCUGAGGAGAGAAAGCGUGGGGAGCGAACAGG
rnacentral:rRNA from 1 species